rnacentral:rRNA from 1 species
AUACGUAUGUCGCAAGCGUUAUCCGGAUUUAUUGGGCGUAAAGCGCGUCUAGGCGGCUUAGUAAGUCUGAUGUGAAAAUGCGGGGCUCAACCCCGUAUUGCGUUGGAAACUGCUAAACUAGAGUACUGGAGAGGUAGGCGGAACUACAAGUGUAGAGGUGAAAUUCGUAGAUAUUUGUAGGAAUGCCGAUGGGGAAGCCAGCCUACUGGACAGAUACUGACGCUAAAGCGCGAAAGCGUGGGUAGCAAACAGGAUUAGAUACCCUGGUAGUCCACGCCGUAAACGAUGAUUACUAGGUGUUGGGGGUCGAACCUCAGCGCCCAAGCUAACGCGAUAAGUAAUCCGCCUGGGGAGUACGUACGCAAGUAUGAAACUCAAAUGAAUUGACGGGG